rnacentral:rRNA from 1 species
AUUGAACGCUGGCGGCAGGCCUAACAAAUGCAAGUCGAAAGAGUGGAGGACGGGUGAGUAAUGUCUGGGAAACUGCCUGAUGGAGGGGGAUAACUACUGGAAACGGUAGAUAAUACCGCAUACCAUCAGAUGUGCCCAGAUGGGAUUAGAGUGUUGGUGGGGUAACGGCUCACCAAGGCGACGAUCCCUAGAUGGUAGUAGGGGAUGACCAGCCACACUGGAACUGAGACACGGUCCAGACUCCUACGGGAGGCAGCAGUGGGGAAUAUUGCACCAUGGGCGCAAGCCUGAUACAGCCAUGCCGCGUGUAGUAAGAAGGCCUUCUGGUUGUAAAGUACUUUCAGCGGGGAGGCGUUACCCGCAGAAGAAGCACCGGCUAACUCCGUGCCAGCAGCCGCGGUAAUUC